rnacentral:rRNA from 1 species
GACGAACGCUGGCGGCGUGCUUAACACAUGCAAGUCGAACGGAAAGGCCCUGCUUUUGUGGGGUGCUCGAGUGGCGAACGGGUGAGUAACACGUGAGUAACCUGCCCUUGACUUUGGGAUAACUUCAGGAAACUGGGGCUAAUACCGGAUAGGAGCUCCUGCUGCAUGGUGGGGGUUGGAAAGUUUCGGCGGUUGGGGAUGGACUCGCGGCUUAUCAGCUUGUUGGUGGGGUAGUGGCUUACCAAGGCUUUGACGGGUAGCCGGCCUGUGAGGGUGACCGGCCACAUUGGGACUGAGAUACGGCCCAGACUCCUACGGGAGGCAGCAGUGGGGAAUAUUACACAAUGGGCGGAAGCCUGAUGCAGCAACGCCGCGGGCGGGAUGACGGCCUUCGGGUUGUGAACCGCUUUCGCCUGUGACGAAGCGUGAGUGACGGUAAUGAGUAAAGAAGCACCGGCUAACUACGUG